rnacentral:lncRNA from 1 species
GGUAGGUUUGGAUAAGAGGCCAGGAGAUGACAGCUAUGGUUGAGAAUUGGUGCCAUGGGCCAGACAAACUGUAGUUAUUGUCUCAAUUAAUAUCCAAACCCAUUCUGCAGGUGAGAGAUUGUUGUUAUCAUUCCUUUUAGAGGAGAAAUCUGAGGCCCACAGAGGGGGAGUGAAUUACCCAAAGUCAAGAGCUGAUGAGGGCUGAGCUGAAUGCAGCUCUUUCCCCUCUUUCCCCUGUACAGUCUCCUCUGGGAACAACAACAUCCUGGGUUCCUACAGGCCCUUUGCUGCCAUCCUGCCAUUCCUCCCCCUGGCCACUCAGUAGAGGGAUGCCCACUGGGUCUGUAGCCCUGACUCUGCAACCCUGACUCUGCUGAUGUCUGCUCUUGGGGCUCCUUCUGCACCUCUGACUGGGGUUAGGCUUUGGAAUGUUGGAGAGAGAGUCCUUCAUGUAAGCAUGUCUAGUUCCUAACAGAGGGCAGUGCUCCAUAUAAGAGUACCCUUGUGUGAGCAUCGGCAGAUCCCUUCCUCUUCUGGCUUCAUUUCUUUUUCUUUUCUUUCUCUCUUUCUUUUCCUUUCUUCCUUCCUUCCUUCCUUCCUGCCAUGCUGGGGACCCAAUCCAGGGCCUUGUGCAUGUGAGGCAAGAUUCUACCAGCUGAGCUAUAUCCCAGUCCUUGGCCUCAUUUCUUCAGAUGGGAGACCCUGGGCUGGAAUGUCAGGACACCAGUAGUUCAUUCUGCCUCACUCUUUGGGAUUUAACUUCUUUCAGCCUCAGUUUUCCUACCUGUGGAAUGGGAUGAUGAUCCUUGAUAUCAGCCUCACAAAAUCUGUGAGUACUAAGCCCAAUAAUUAGUGUCCUUGUGUUUAAAAAUGUAAUAGGAAGGGGGAAGUCAGCUCAAUAAUAUCUCAAUAUUGGAUCUGCUUUUUGAAAUGGCAGAUCUGAUAAGAGAUAAGUUCUGCAGGGCUUCUACUUGUCCCCCUGGGCCCUGCCCCUGUACUUCUGCUUAUUCAAAGCCUCUCCCCUUGCUUGUGGCCUAUUCUACUCAUCUGCUCCCAGAAUUCUUAUGCACCCUGUGAGGCCUCACCCUGGGCCUGCAUCCCAGCAUCCUCUCCUAGUUCCCUCUCUCUGCCAGUGGUUACUUCCUGUGUUUGAUUCUCCCUCCUUCCCAGGGUGAGGCCCUAAACCUCCUUCCUCCCUUUGUCCCCUGAUCUGGCAGAGUCCUGGAAACAUACCAGGGCUUAGCCAUGUGGCACAGAACCCAAGGAUUUUCUGGUUGAUGAACAUAUGGCAGUCCAGGAAACAGGAGUCUGGGGUCUUCAAGGUGGAGGGACCGGGGUGCUUCAGUGGGGCCUGUGUGUGCUGGCCUUAGCCAUGAAGGAAGUGCUUUUGCUCAUGCUGACCUCCUCACCUUCACCCAUAGGAUGCCCUGUAUCACAGAGCUAGAGUCAUCAGAAGCCCUGUGUCUAUACUGGGGACAGAGUAGCUGAUGAUCAGGAUGACUCCCAGGGUAUCUACCAGGCAUGUUUCCACACAGACCACCCCUUAUGAUGAAUGAUCCCUAUUCCUAUGGCCUUAUAAGUACUCGGACUUAGUGAUAGGGCUUUCCUGAUUCUCAUCUCAAGUCAAUGGUCACUGAAUGUCCACUGUGCCAGCUGAUUUCUUUAAAUUUUUUUUAUAGUUGUAGAUGGACAGUAUGUAUGUAUGUAUGUAUGUAUUUAUUUAUUUAAUGUGGUGCUAUGGAUCAAACCCAGUCCCUUAAAUGUGCUAGGCAAGCACUCUGCCACUGAGCUAUGACCCAGCCCAUACCAGCUGAUUUCUGGGCCCUAACAACUCUAGGUUUUUAAUCUAGAAGAAGGGGAAAAAGUACAAGGAACCUUGUCUGAAUUCUCUGUCCCUAGGCCAUGGUUCCUGGGACAAGAGUGGAAGUAUAUUACAGGGAUCAGGAGGUGAAAAUGGGGACAGGCCUGGUAUUCUGCAGGACAUGUGUGUGCUGUCCUGGCCUUUUCCCAGGGAGUUUCACAGUCACCUUCAACAGUCAUUCCUGGAGUCCCUACUGAUCCUUAGUUCUGGGUCCUGAGAAGACCAUGGGUUCCCCUUUUCCUGGACUCCUAACCCCAAGCUCCAUGGUUCUUCCCUUGGGAAAGCUCUCCCUGUCCUUCAUUAAGAUAUUGCUGAGAAUUCCUGGAACUAGAGGGAGCAACUGGGUAUAGAGAGCAGAUAUUGGGCUGAAAGAGGCACUUGCCAAAAACUGACCCUCCCAGAGGUAGGGGAGAGCAAGAGCCCUGGACCAGGUCUUGUGUGGCAUCUCCAGGAAGAGGGAUCCCCCUCUUCCUGGAGACUCCACACAAGGUCUGGACCCUUUCAUGGUCCCUUACCCACGUGUCUCAACCUUGAUUUUUUUUUUUAAAUCUAGAAGUAGGGUAAAAAGUACAAGGAACCUUGUCUGAAGUCCCUGUCCCUAGGUUAUGGUUCCUGGGGCAGGUGUCCUAGGUCCUGUGGGCCCUGAGCAAUCCAUGGAGAAAGCUGGAUAGAGCAGGGGUCCAUCUGGUAUGGAUUGAGGGUAGCCAGCACCUGAGUUAGCAAUGAGAUUGGGACUUGAGUCUCUUCUGUAGCUUUGAUCAGGUCAGUCAGGGUCUCUGGGCCAUCAUUUCUCUACCAUGUGACGAGGAUUCUCAUAGGUUCUUCCUUCAAGGGUGGUUUGGCAGUGAAGUAGGUCUGGAGAGAACUUGUUGGGGACCAUAGGAAGGAAAUGCCUCAGAGCUGUGCCUGAAAGCAGCCCCUUCUGCAUGACUCCCACAGCAGAAAAGGCCAUGGGAGACCGGGGAGGAUGGCAGGGUUGAGCCUGGGCUGGAAGGCCCCAAUGGUAGCCCAAACCAGAGACUGUACAGGACACAUGGAGGGAGAGGAAUAGGGAAGAAGGCUCUCCAAAUACCCAGAGAACUGAGAAUGGAGCUAAGGUAAGCUGAAUGAGGGACUCCAAAGACUGUGCUUCCUAACCCCACAAACUGGGAAUGUGUUAUAUUGUGUGAGCACAAGAAUCUUGCAGAAAGGAUGAUGUUAAGAAGCCUGAGAGAUAGCUCCAGAUUAUCUGGGUGGUCUCAAGGCAGGGUAUUUACAAGGGAAAGAGGGAGAUGGGAGGUCAGAGUGAGAGAAGAUGUGGGGAUGAAAGCAAAGGAGAGAAACAGGGAGAGGGAGAGGGAGAAGAGAGAGAGAGAAAGAGAAGAGAGGAGGGAGAGAAAAAGGGAGAGACAGACUUAAAGGGCAGAAACAGAGAUUUGUAGAUGUUGUAUUACCAACUUUGAAGUUGGAGGAAAGAGCCAGGAGAUAGAUAUCUGGGGUCACUAAGGUGGCCCAGGAAUGCAGUGUCCUCUAAGAAUUGGAAAAGGCCAGGAAGUGGAUUCUUUUCCAGAGCCUCUGGAAGGAGCCCAGCCCUGCUGACACGUUGGUUUUAAUCCCCACCCCACCCCAAAUACAUUCUGACCUCCAGACCUAUGAGAGAAUAAAUGCAUAUUAGUUUAAGCCACUAUAUUUGAGGUGAUAUGUUUCAGUAGCCACAGGAGACUCUGAUAGGAGCUGAUGGGGAGACAUCUUGUACCCUCACAGCCCCCACUCAUGAUGACACAGACCUGACCCUUGGUCUUGAGACCCACUGCCUCUAACUCCCAUGGUACAGUGAAGGGGCUGAAGCCCAGGGACUGCAGGAGGGGCUGGGAUGGGGCUGGGUAUAGUUGUCUCCUUCAUUGUCAGGGAGUGUUUGGAGCUCUAGAUCCUGCUAGUCAGCCUCACAGAGAAAAUAUCAGUAAAGGACCUAGUUUUCCUGCUGACAUUCACCAUUGAAUGAAGUGUUUCCAAUGAAUAUUGCUUUCUCCACCAAAGGAAGCUAACAGGUGACCUUCUGUGCCACAGAGUUUAGAGAAUCACCAUGUCCUGAGGCCACUGAUUGGUCACCUGUGUGUGUGAGAGAGAGCCCAGGUCCCCUGAGUGCUGAAGCCUCAGGUAAAAAUGUCCUUACUUCUAAUUGUACAAGACACCCUCUCUCAGUGUCAAAACAUAAAUUCCCUCCAGCAAAGACUUUGUUUAGCCUCAUAGAAAUUAUGAGGCACCUAUUUCCUUCCUCACACUGGUUCCCUGGGAGUUAGGAGCUUAUCUUUGGCAAGUGUCCUAAAGUUCUUGUGGGCUUUUUGUGUGGCAGUUUCUUCCCAGCUUCUUCUGAUUUCUCUUUUAGCUCUGAACCUACCACUGGAUAAGAAAUUGAAGAAUUUAAGAGCUUGUGAAGUCAACAGCACUAAAUGUUCUUAAUUCCAUGGACUAUCAGGAGUGAUGGGGAGGGAUUGGGGGUGGGCAGGAGCUGAGCAGGAUGGAGAGGAAGAGGGGAUUCCUGUGGGUUGGCCCACAGCAGGGUUUCCAGGCUGAGGAAGAAAGGACAUGGAGUAGGUUAGACUGGCCCAAAAAGGGUGGGGAGAAAAAGUAUCUCAGGAAGUCCUAGCCAUGGAUGACUGUCCAGGAAGGACCAGGGAUUAGGGGGGUCCUGUACUGGGAGGAGGAAGGGGAGUGAUCAGUCAGGAUUCUCUAGAGAAACAGAAUACACACACACACACACACACACACACAAAUAUAAAAAGGAGAUUUAUUAGAUUGGUUUAUACCAUCAGAGGCUAGUCCCAAUGGCCGUCUACAUACUGGAGAGCCAGAGAAACCAGUAGCUGCUCAGUUUAAGAAGCUGGAGUCUCAGAACAAGAGGGACUAAUGAUGCAACCCAAGGCUGAAGGCCUGGAAGCUCCGUGGAGAGCCACUGGUGCAAGUGCACAUUGAAGGGCUGAAGAAGCUGUUGUCUGAUGUCCGUGGGUGAUGGCAGCAGCAAAAGACGCUCCGGUGCAAGAAUUCAACUUGUACCUGCUCCUUCUUCCACUUUUCCUCUGGGUCUCCAACCUAUUGGGUAGAGCCACCCCCUCAGUUUGCUGUCCUAUGUACAAACUAUCUCUGGAAACACCCUCAAAGACACACCCAGGAGUGCAGUUUGUUAAUUUCUUGGACAUCUCAAUCCAAUCAAUUUGAUGAUCAAGAUUAACCAUUACAAGCACAUAUGUAUUCAGAACUUCAUUGGAAGCAUUCUAUUUAUUAGUAUCUUUCUUUUGAAAAUAUGAAUUUUCUUAUAUUAGAAAUGCUUCAGAAAUAUUUUUAUGAUACUGAUGUCUUUAUUUUUCAUAAUAAUAAUAAUAAUAAUAAUAAAACUUCAUUGAGUGUUAACUUUCACGCCAGAUUCUAUUUUUCACAAACAUUUUGAAGGUUUGUGUAAGAUGCUUUAUGAUGGUUGUGUCACACUGCUUUGUCCCACUCUUUCUCAUGGAUAUUUGGACUAUUUCUAGUUUUUUUUCUAUCAUUAUUAAUGUUGAACUAAACAUUUUGUUUGUAAGUCUUUGGUUAUGGCUUUGAUUAUUUCCUGCUCUACCAGGAAAAAUUCCUAGCAGUGGAAUUAUGGAAUUAUAUACUUUAGAUAAACACUCUCUUUUAAUGACUUGCUGCCUCUUCUAAGUUGGUUGUACAUUUAAAUGCCUACAGACAGUCCACAAGUGUCCAUUCCUCUCUGGUAUUGUCACUCAUCAAUUUCAUAGGAAUUUUGGCUCCUGGUCACCAUGUGGAACUAUGCCUCUUGCCAUCCCUAGUGCUGGGGUCCCCAUCUUCAAAUCUGGCCUCACACCUUUUGAAAAACGUUUUUUCAAAAUGAAGCCUGACUCUUAACAGGCCCCUAUUUAGAUUUCUCUA